rnacentral:misc_RNA from 1 species
GAUGAAGAACGCAGCGAAAUGCGAUAAGUAAUGCGAAUUGCAGAAUUCAGUGAAUCAUCGAAUCUUUGAACGCACAUUGCGCCCGCUAGUAUUCUGGCGGGCAUGCCUGUCUGAGCGUCAUUUCAACCCUCGCCCCCGGCUUUUGCUGGGAGCGGUGUUGGGGAUCGGCCGCCCGUCACUGGGAGGCCGGCCCCGAAAUAGAGUGGCGACCACGCCGUGUGCUCCUCUGCGUAGUAGUAAAUCACCUCGCAGGCGGACAGCGGUGCGGCCUGCCGUAAAACCCCCAACUCUUUCUGGUUGACCUCAGAUCAGGUAGGAAUUCCCGCUGAACUUAAGCAUAUCAAUAAGCGGAGGA